UCAGAUGAGAACGUCUUUUGUUUCAGUGCGGAAUCAAAUUACUCAAACACAAAUAGUGCUGCAGAAAACAGAGGAGAUGCUGCUGUGAAUGACUUCUGUUUCUCAAGCUUCUUUAAAAAUCGGACUUCUUCUGAUCAUUUGAAAUAUUACUGUGCUGUACCCAAAUGUGAGGAGAAGAUACAAAAAAAUGAAUCAUCAUCUCACUCUGAAGUUACGGUAAAGUUGUGGAACUCAAACAAGGACGAUGUAAUUAGAAACAUACUCAUCGCUGCUUUGGCUGCAAGUCAAGUAUUGAUAGUGUUCCUGUGCAUUUUGGUCAAGAAACUAAAGACAAACUUAAAAAGCUGUUCUUGUGAUGCAGUUCUUCAACAAAUGCAAACAUCAACCACAGAUCUUCAA